rnacentral:rRNA from 1 species
GACAGAGGGUGCAAACGUUGUUCGGAUUUACUGGGCGUAAAGCGUGUGUAGGCGGCUUCGCAAGUUGGAUGUGAAAUCCCACGGCUCAACCGUGGACGUGCAUCCAAAACUGCGUCGCUAGAGUCUCGGAGAGGAAGGUGGAAUGCUUGGUGUAGAGGUGAAAUUCGUAGAUAUCAAGCAGAACACCUGCGGCGAAGGCGGCUCACUGGCCCGGUACUGACGCUGAGGCACGAAAGCGUGGGGAGCAAACAGG